CUAACUUAUAUCUACCUCUCAACUUCCGUUCGCUUCGCCCGAUCACCCUUUUCGUAACCUUCUCGUCACGCAUUAAUCAGCUUACUCCGCAAGUCAAGCUUGCGUAAAGAAGUUAUAUUUCAAAUAAAUUU